AGUACGCUUUUGCUCUUACAAUACUCUAUCACCGACUUUCAAAAUUGAAACAAACCCUAAUUCUCGCUACCUUCCUUUCUGUGAUGAAUCUUUCUACAUCCGUCACCAGAUCUCCUCCCUCCUUAUCCUAGCCACCAUCUCCAUCUCCUCCCUUUCUCUGUCAUGAAUCUUUCUCCAGGCGAUUCUAGGGUUUCUUUCCCGGUCGCUUCAAGAUCUAAGCUUUCUGAGAGAUGAAUCUCUGUAGAUCCAACACCAGAUCGACUGGUGUGACCGCUCGGUACCUUUCUUUUUACCAUCUCUAUUAUAUGUUAUUUGAAUCGGAUCUGGGUUGUAAUUUUCCAGACUUGGUGGAAGAUCUGGGUUGCAUCUUUGUGUCUCGAUAUGGUGGAGGAAGAUCUGGCCAGCUCUAGGUCGAUGUAUACUAAAGCUUCAGAUCUAGGUUGUGAUUUCCCAGACUUGGUGGAAGAUCUGGGUUGCAUCUUUGUUUCUCGAGAGGGCGGAGGAAGAUCUGGCCAGAUCUAGGUCGAUUUAUUGUAGUCAUUGAAGAGAUAUUGGUCUUUGGGUUUUAUCAACUAUCAUACAUUGUAAUUUCCAUGUAAUAAGUUUAUUGGAUAUUUUGAUCUUGCUGUUGAAUAUUUUUGUGAAAUGUUGGAUCACAUCCGAUUUUUAAUGCUUCAGUCAAAAUAGGUCAAAUGGAUUGACGGGUUGUAAAGAGGUUGGUGAGUUUUAGAUAUUUUGCAAAAAAAUGGUAGUUGUUGAAGCCCAUGUUAGCAAGAAGUCAACAAUGGUAAACCAAGUUGUUUUAUUUCAGCUCUAGCUUUUACGCUCAUCAAAUAAAAGUGUUCAAAAAUUAAAAUCAUUUGUAAUUAUUUAAAUUAUGCUUUGACUCAGAUGCGUUCUUUUAGGUUGGUGCUGGAAUAUCAAAGCCAAAUAAGGUCAUUACAGCUUGAAUUGUGGCAUAUUCUUGGUCCGUGUGGGCUAUCCUGGUGAUAUCUUGCGCUCCAAACCUGUUGGUCUGCAGUACCUGUUGGUAGGCUCCAAACCUGUUGGUAGGCUUUUUUUUGUGUUGUCGUUUUAGGUCUGCAGUACCAGAGUACAUGAAAACUGAAUGGCGUAUGGUUGCUCUCUAUAUCGUGGUUUUGUUCGUGUCUUGAUAGAAGGCUGCUAUGCUCUCCAUGAUUUGGGUGGUCAAAUCCAAACAGUAGGUUUCUGAAAGCAUCUCUCAAGUCUCAUCAGGCUCUCCACGAUGGCCUGUGGCUUCAUCGUUGUCUCUCUUAAUCACAUGUGACCCAAAUCUUCUUGCUUUGGUUGGUUUGCUGCACUUCUACAUGUGAGAGUAUACUUUAUGAGGUCGCCGUUCUGAUUGGGUAUUUGUUACCAUUGACCACAUUUUUUUUGCUCGUGCAUACUGCUUUAGAAAUCUAUAGGUGAAGCUGUUGAGGUUGGUUAUUAAAAUAUGCAAACUUCUUAUACUGAUCAAUUUUAAAAAAUCAACUGACGUUGACUUUUGUGUGAUGAAGGUCCAGGAUAGUAAUAAUGUGCUAUGCUACUUAUAAUAAGUUAAAUCCCAUUAUUGUCAUGAUAUACAUGCGAUAGCUGCUGAUGAAGCACCAAUAUCCAAAAGGAAGACUAACACUCUGUUCCCGAGACUCAUUUAACAGGGGGAGGGGAGGGAAAAGGGAUGGAAAUAUUAAAAACCAUGUUCCCGAGUUUCAUUUAACAGGGGGAGGGGAGGGAAAAGGGAGGAAAAUAUGACCAAAUAUAACCAUAUAUUCAUCCUUCCAAAUUGGAGAGAAAAUUUUCCUUCCCCUCCUCUCCUCUCCCCUCCCCUCACCUCCCCCUGUUAAAUGACUCGGGAACAUAGUGUAAAGAGAGAGUUGAAAUCCACAUGUUAAACCGUUUUGGAGGAUGCUCCUAAUGCUACCGGGUAGACUCAGACACACCCAUGUAUGAUUGGGCACCAUUCUGUUUUUUUACUUAUUAUGCUUCAACUUUGAACUUACAGAUUAUUUUUUACUGUUUCAACAUAUAAGCAAUUUUAUACUUGCUGUGAACAUUCAAUCCCAUCAAAAGUUUAUUUAUUUUCUUCA